AGGGAAUCUACCCAACUGUGGGGGACAACCUGGGGGAAACUCAGGCUAAUACCGCAUACGCCUCGGGGGAAANCGGGGGAUCUUCGGACCUCGCGCGGUUGGAUGAGCCUGCGUCGGAUUAGCUUGUUGGUAAGGGUAACGGUCUACCAAGGCGACGAUCCGUAGCUGGUCUGAGAGGAUGAUCAGCCACACUGGGACUGAGACACGGCCCAGACUCCUACGGGAGGCAGCAGUGGGGAAUAUUGGACAAUGGGGGCAACCCUGAUCCAGCCAUGCCGCGUGUGUGAAGAAGGCCUUCGGGUUGUAAAGCACUUUUAGUGGGGAAGAAAAGCCUAAGGAUAAUACCCUUGGGUCUUGACGGUACCUACAGAAAAAGCACCGGCUAAUUCCGUG
rnacentral:rRNA from 1 species